rnacentral:tRNA from 1 species
UAUAAGGCUGGCUUGAAACCGGUCCUAGGG